rnacentral:rRNA from 1 species
CCUCCGUAGGUGAACCUGCGGAGGGAUCAUUAAAAGAGUUCUAUAACUCCCAAACCCAUGUGAACAUACCUAACGUUGCCUCGGCAGGUCGCGCCUACCUCGUAGUCUUACCCUGUAAGACUUACCCGGGAGGUGCGGGUAAGCCUGCCGGCGGCCCACCAAACUCUGUUUGAUAUUGAAUUCUGAACCUAUAACUAAAUAAGUUAAAACUUUCAACAACGGAUCUCUUGGUUCUGGCAUCGAUGAAGAACGCAGCGAAAUGCGAUAAGUAAUGUGAAUUGCAGAAUUCAGUGAAUCAUCGAAUCUUUGAACGCAUAUUGCGCCCAUUAGUAUUCUAGUGGGCAGGACCGUUCGAGCGUCAUUUCGACCCUUAAGCCUUAGUUGCUUAGUGUUGGGAGCCUACGGCAACGUAGCUCCUCAAAGUUAGUGGCGGAGUUGGUUCACACUCUAGACGUAGUAAUUUUUUAUCUCNCCUAUUAGUUGGACUGAUCCCCUGCCGUAAAACCCCAACUUCUUCAAGGCUUCCUCRAAUCU